AUGAACGCUGGCGGCGUGCCUAAUACAUGCAAGUCGAGCGAACAGACGAGGAGCUUGCUCCUCUGACGUUAGCGGCGGACGGGUGAGUAACACGUGGAUAACCUACCUAUAAGACUGGGAUAACUUCGGGAAACCGGAGCUAAUACCGGAUAAUAUAUUGAACCGCAUGGUUCAAUAGUGAAAGACGGUUUUGCUGUCACUUAUAGAUGGAUCCGCGCCGCAUUAGCUAGUUGGUAAGGUAACGGCUUACCAAGGCAACGAUGCGUAGCCGACCUGAGAGGGUGAUCGCCCCCACUGGAACUGGGACACGGCCCAGACCCCUAGGGGAGGCAGCGGGGGGGAAUUUCCCGCAAGGGGCGAAAGCUUGCCGGGGAAACGCCGGGUGAGUGAGGAAGGCUUUCGGAUCGUAAAACUUUUUUAUUAGGGAAAAACAAAUGUGAAAGUAACUAUGAACGUUUUGACGGUACCGAAUCAGAAAGCCACGGCUAACUACGU
rnacentral:rRNA from 1 species